UACGUAGGUGGCAAGCGUUGUCCGGAUUUAUUGGGUUUAAAGGGUGCGUAGGCGGCUUUGUAAGUCAGUGGUGAAAUAUGGCAGCUCAACUGUCAAGGUGCCAUUGAUACUGCGGAGCUUGAGUACAGAUGAGGUAGGCGGAAUUGACGGUGUAGCGGUGAAAUGCUUAGAUAUCGUCAAAGAACACCUAUAGCGAAGGCAGCUUACUAGGCUGUAACUGACGCUGAGGCACGAAAGUGUGGGGAUCAAACAGG
rnacentral:rRNA from 1 species